GCCUGUCUUCGGGGCGGGGUGCAAAUCCCCACCGGCGGUGACAGUCCGCGACCCCUCGCGAGCCACGCGAGGGUGGACCCGGUGAAGUUCCGGGACCGACCGUGAGAGUCGGGAUGGGAGAGGACGGGC
rnacentral:ncRNA from 2 species